rnacentral:rRNA from 1 species
GACGAACGCUGGCGGCGUGCUUAACACAUGCAAGUCGAACGGAAGGGCCUGCUUUUGUGGGGUGCUCGAGUGGCGAACGGGUGAGUAACACGUGAGUAACCUGCCCUUGACUUUGGGAUAACUUCAGGAAACUGGGGCUAAUACCGGAUAGGAGCUCCUGCUGCAUGGUGGGGGUUGGAAAGUUUCGGCGGUUGGGGAUGGACUCGCGGCUUAUCAGCUUGUUGGUGGGGUAGUGGCUUACCAAGGCUUUGACGGGUAGCCGGCCUGAGAGGGUGACCGGCCACAUUGGGACUGAGAUACGGCCCAGACUCCUACGGGAGGCAGCAGCGGGGAAUAUUGCACAAUGGGCGGAAGCCUGAUGCAGCAACGCCGCGUGCGGGAUGACGGCCUUCGGGUUGUAAACCGCUUUCGCCUGUGACGAAGCGUGAGUGACGGUAAUGGGUAAAGAAGCACCGGCUAACUACGUG